UUAUUGGAGAGUUUGAUCCUGGCUCAGGAUGAACGCUGGCGGCGUGCCUAAUACAUGCAAGUCGAGCGAAUGGAUUAAGAGCUUGCUCUUAUGAAGUUAGCGGCGGACGGGUGAGUAACACGUGGGUAACCUGCCCAUAAGACUGGGAUAACUCCGGGAAACCGGGGCUAAUACCGGAUAACAUUUUGAACCGCAUGGU
rnacentral:rRNA from 1 species